GUUCAAAAUACAGUGUUGUCUUUUCCAAGCACAUAUCUGAUUGCUCUGCAUGGAAAAUGACUGUUGCUGUGUGACUUUUGGAU